UGUUGCUGGGUUUGAUCGCUAAACCUCCUCCCCAUUCCAGCUUCAGGACACAGGGCGAUAAAUCAAGUAAUGGGGGCCCUGCACCCACCUGGGAGAACUGGCUCCCAGCUUUGGCCUUGUCCCGUCUCUGGCCAUUUUCAGUAUUUGGGAAUUGAACCAGUGAAUGAGAGCUCAGUCUCUCUCUGUCUAGUCUCUCUCUCUCUCUUUGCCUCUCAAACUUUUUUAGAAAAUAGCAAAGUGCUUUUAAGUUGGGCCUCUGGAGUCAGACCAGUUCAAAUUCCAGCUCUACUCUGUUGUUGGUGGGGGUUAGGUUUGGCUGCAAAUGCCAGAGAUGCCCCCCCCCCCCCCCAACAGCGGCUUAGACAAGUGAACCCUCUGUUUCUCUUUCAUGUCCAAGUCGAAGGAUAAGGUCUCAGGACUGCAAGUCGAUUGAGCUCUGUGGUGUCGUCUGGGACCCAGGCUUCUGCUACCUGUGACCCUGCCAUUCAUGGCCUUGGUCAUGUCCUGGCUCUGGCCUGUCUGGCUCCUGCUGUCAUGCCCUCAUUCCACCAGCAGGGAGGAAAGGCGAGAAGGCUGACAAUUCCAGGAAGUCGCCGGAGAUCCGGUUGCAGGGGAGAGUCUCCGCUAUCCUCGCUAGAGCUGUGUGACGUUGGGGAGUGAGGAUAAGUCCUGAGCAACCUUGAGAUGAACCAUAAAGAGGAUGACAGAGAAGUUUCCGUAAGAUCCUGCUCAGCAACCAGACUUCAAAAUUCAACCCGUUCCAGGGGGCGGGACUGAGGCUGUAACCAGGAGGCAAUAAAUGAACUUGGCCUACAGUGACUGCAUUAGUAUGCUUGCAUUUUGAAUUCUCUCCAAAUAGAACUGACCUUAAAAGCAACGGGAACAUCCUCUGCCUUCCUGCUUGUGUUUGCUUCUCAAAGCUGUUAGCAAUUCUCAUCUCCAGGGUGCUCUUCCUGAGGGGAUGGGGCAAGAAGCUCCAGGGUGAGGGCUCCCACUUGGCCCCCAGCAGGAGCUGGGCUGGGGGCUCUGCCCAGGCUGUG